rnacentral:rRNA from 1 species
UGGCGGCGUGCCUAAUACAUGCAAGUCGAACGAACUCUGGUAUUGAUUGGUGCUUGCAUCAUGAUUUACAUUUGAGUGAGUGGCGAACUGGUGAGUAACACGUGGGAAACCUGCCCAGAAGCGGGGGAUAACACCUGGAAACAGAUGCUAAUACCGCAUAACAACUUGGACCGCAUGGUCCGAGUUUGAAAGAUGGCUUCGGCUAUCACUUUUGGAUGGUCCCGCGGCGUAUUAGCUAGAUGGUGRGGUAACGGCUCACCAUGGCAAUGAUACGUAGCCGACCUGAGAGGGUAAUCGGCCACAUUGGGACUGAGACACGGCCCAAACUCCUACGGGAGGCAGCAGUAGGGAAUCUUCCACAAUGGACGAAAGUCUGAUGGAGCAACGCCGCGUGAGUGAAGAAGGGUUUCGGCUCGUAAAACUCUGUUGUUAAAGAAGAACAUAUCUGAGAGUAACUGUUCAGGUAUUGACGGUAUUUAACCAGAAAGCCACGGCUAACUACGUGCCAGCAGCCGCGGUAAUACGUAGGUGGCAAGCGUUGUCCGGAUUUAUUGGGCGUAAAGCGAGCGCAGGCGGUUUUUUAAGUCUGAUGUGAAAGCCUUCGGCUCAACCGAAGAAGUGCAUCGGAAACUGGGAAACUUGAGUGCAGAAGAGGACAGUGGAACUCCAUGUGUAGCGGUGAAAUGCGUAGAUAUAUGGAAGAACACCAGUGGCGAAGGCGGCUGUCUGGUCUGUAACUGACGCUGAGGCUCGAAAGUAUGGGUAGCAAACAGGAUUAGAUACCCUGGUAGUCCAUACCGUAAACGAUGAAUGCUAAGUGUUGGAGGGUUUCCGCCCUUCAGUGCUGCAGCUAACGCAUUAAGCAUUCCGCCUGGGGAGUACGGCCGCAAGGCUGAAACUCAAAGGAAUUGACGGGGGCCCGCACAAGCGGUGGAGCAUGUGGUUUAAUUCGAAGCUACGCGAAGAACCUUACCAGGUCUUGACAUACUAUGCAAAUCUAAGAGAUUAGACGUUCCCUUCGGGGACAUGGAUACAGGUGGUGCAUGGUUGUCGUCAGCUCGUGUCGUGAGAUGUUGGGUUAAGUCCCGCAACGAGCGCAACCCUUAUUAUCAGUUGCCAGCAUUAAGUUGGGCACUCUGGUGAGACUGCCGGUGACAAACCGGAGGAAGGUGGGGAUGACGUCAAAUCAUCAUGCCCCUUAUGACCUGGGCUACACACGUGCUACAAUGGAUGGUACAACGAGUUGCGAACUCGCGAGAGUAAGCUAAUCUCUUAAAGCCAUUCUCAGUUCGGAUUGUAGGCUGCAACUCGCCUACAUGAAGUCGGAAUCGCUAGUAAUCGCGGAUCAGCAUGCCGCGGUGAAUACGUUCCCGGGCCUUGUACACACCGCCCGUCACACCAUGAGAGUUUGUAACACCCAAAGUCGGUGGGGUAACCUUUUAGGAACCAGCCGCCUAAGGUGGGACAGAUGAUUAGGGUGAAGUCGUAACAAGGUAGCCGUAGGAGA